rnacentral:rRNA from 1 species
GUUUUAUUUUUUCUUUUUUUGUACUUAAAAAAAAAAAAUAAAUUUAUUUUAAUAGAAUUCAAAAAAAUGGAAAUUUUUUUUUGAAUAAAUUACUUUGAAUAAAUUAGAGUGCUUUAAGCAAAUUAUUUUUUUAUCAACAAAAAAAAUAAAAUGUUUGAAUAAUUUAGCAUAGAAUAAUUGAAUAAGAUUUGAAAGAUAAAUAUUUUGGUAAAUUAUAAUUUUAAAUAAUGAUAAAUAGGAAUAGUUGGGGGUAUUUGUAUUGAAUAGUCAGAGGUGAAAUUCAAGGAUUUGUUCAAGACAAACAUCAGCGAAAGCAUUUACCAAAGAUAUUUCCAUUAAUCAAGAACGAAAGUUAGGGGAUCGAAGAUGAUCAGAUACCGUCGUAGUCCUAACCAUAAACAAUACCAACCAAAGAUAAGAGGUUGAAACAAGAGAUAUAAAAAUUUGUUUUUUUUUAUAUCAAGAAAACUCCUUUUUGAAUUUUUUGAGGGAAACCAUUGAGUAUUUGGGUUCUGGG